AAGUCGUAACAAGGUCUCCGUUGGUGAACCAGCGGAGGGAUCAUUAAAAAGAGUUGUAAAAGACUCCCUCAACCCACUGUGAACUUACCUAUGUCGUUGCUUCGGCAGGCGGCCCCAGGGCGGGGCCACGGCCUUUUAGCUAAGGUGCCUGCCGGAGGUUUACCAAACUCAUGUUGCUAUUGUGUCGUUCAGAGUAAAAAUAAAAUAAGUCAAAACUUUCAACAACGGAUCUCUUGGUUCUG
rnacentral:misc_RNA from 1 species